rnacentral:sRNA from 1 species
GAGAACCUUUGGUCAGUGGAGACGAAGUUGCUGUUGAGGAGCAGGAGACAACAGAGCCUAUUGUAGCCAAGACAGUUGAGGAUGUGAAAGGCAAAUGUGUUGAGGCAGAGGCAGAUGCUGAAGAACAAAACACAGAAGAUGUACCCAAAGAAGACUCAGAAGAAAACACAAAUGAGAAUGCAAGCUCUGAAGUAGAAGAAUCAAAAACAG